AUGUUCAAAAAAUCACAUGAGGGUUGGAGUAUGAAUGAAUAUUCUUGUUUAUUUAUAUAUAAUGAUUUGAAGGGGAGCCUUGGCGCAGUGGUAAAGCUGCUGCCUUGUGACCAUGAGGUCAUGGGUUCAAGUCCUGGAAACAGCCUCUUACAGAAAUGUAGGGAAAGGCUGCGUACUAUAGACCCAAAGUGGUCGGACCCUUCCCUGGACCCUGCGCAAGCGGGAGCUACAUGCACCAGGUUGCCCUUUUUAUUUAUAUAUAAUGAUUUCUCAACUUAUUAUGCUUUUUUGACUAGAUGCAAUUUAUUUUUCUUUUUUGAUUGA
rnacentral:rRNA from 1 species